GCGAACUCCGGUCAGCUGACACAUCCCGGCCAAUCUCCAGCUGACCCUUCCUCCCACCUCCUGGACAGCAUCCAUGUUGAAGCUGCCUUCAACAUGGAUGCUGUCCAGGAGGUGGGAGGGUCUGGGAGGGAGGGUCUGCUGGAGAUUGGCCGGGAUGUGUCAGCUGACCG